UCAAUACUGUUAAUUUUUUUUAGUGCCUGUUACUAAGAGGGCAUUUCUGAGAUUGAAGUUUAACAGCAGUGAGGAUCUUAUGAACCCUUCUGUGAGGGACAAAAUUCUUCAAAAGAUGAUAUCUGCCAAUGUCCAGCCUUCAGUGCGUCAGAUCUGUUGGACUAAGGAACCAGAGGUGGAAAAUUAAACUUAAAAAACGGUGGCAGAAAUAUAUCUGAAACAAGAAGAAGAAGAAGCGGAAGAAGAAGAAAUGUUCAAAGAACAAAAAGAAAAAAAACAUCAAAUGUGUGAGGUUUGGGUGUAGCACUUGAAAAUACUAGCUAACUGAUGUUAUAGGUUUAUUAAUUAGAAGUACUAGAGAAAUGUAGCUAUGAAAAAUUAUUAGCACAGGGUUUGUACAAGGUGCUUGAAUUUGGCAUUUGGAAAUUUAAGUACUGGAAAACCUUGAAAAUAGCCAUUUUUUAUGUAUCAGUGGUUAAAAAGUGCUUGAAUGAUAAAAAGUCAAUAAAUAAAAAAUAACAAUUUUCAAAAGAACACGAAUACAAUCCUUUCACUCAAAAUAUGACUCCCCGCUGCAGCCCCUCCUCCUCCUGCUGUUCACUCAUUCAUUUUAACAGGGACAGCUUCGGUCCACUUCUCAGACCCCUUUAGCAACUUUUUUUUUUUUUUUUUAAAGCAUCUAGCAAUAUAUCUAUCGACUUAGGACAAACCUUAGCUACUUUCUGUAGAAGAUAAUGGCCAGUACUGCCCGGCGAGUGCGAGGUCCUGCUUUCAGAAACAGAAAAAAUAUGUAAAUGAGAACAGCUUUAUUGGGAAUUCGGCUGUAUUAAAAUUCAGCAUGUGAGCACAGAGAGUAGGAUGUAAUAAAGGGCUGACACUAGGCAGAGUGAACAUACGAUGCAAUGGUGAAAUUAUGGUGAAAAUGAAGCAAUGACUGGGAAAUACAAAAUUUGUCCAUCAUGGCUGGGAAAAGGAGCUAUAUAAAAAUGGUUGUUUUAAAAAAAAAUAUUAUUAUUAAGAUUUUUUUUGGAAAUGAAGGAUAUGUUUCAAUGACAUCUCUUGUAUAGUCCUUGAAAACAAAACAAAACAAAACAGUGCUUGAAAAGUCCUUGAAAAUCCUGGAAUUUCAUUAUGAAGCAUCUGUACAGACCCUGUUAUAUGUACAAUGUGAUUGAUGUAUUAAACAUGCCUCUUGAUUUCUGGGUUUAGCAUAGUUAUACCUCGGUUUGAGUUUAAAACAAUAGCUAUAUUUUCUGGUAGAAUAAUGCUAGUUAAGUUUCUCUCGCAAAUAUUACUGAGUAGAUAAAGUAUAUUCAGUAGCUUUUCUGGGAUAGUGAGAAUUUAGGUUAAUAUAGUAGAAAACAAAACACUCAGAUUAUCCUGGUUGUAAGAACUGCUCAUUCAUCUGUACACCUUUACAGUUUUCACUGCAGAUAUAUCAUCAGCUUUAUUGAACAAUACUCAGAAUCCUUGUCACCUCCCAGCCAAUCAGUCAUGAUGAAUUUUUGUAUGGUUGGAAGCAUGUUUAAAACACAGAAAGUGCCGAGAUCAUGUAAGAAUGAGGUUUUACUCACUGGCAUAAAUGUGUUCACUUUAAACUUUGUUCCUUCCCUUAAACACUUACCUGCUUGAGAAUUUCCAAUGUUUGUAGAAUGAUGAUUCUCAGUACAGCACAUUACCAAAUAUUAAUGGGCUUUAAAUUUAUUUAUUUAUUUGUGACAAUUAUGGGAUUUUCUAAUUUGUUUAAUAUGUGAACUUUUUUAUUAUUAUGGCUCAUCAAGGUUCAGAGCAUUCCAUUCUCUUAAAUCAACAUUUCCCAUUGUUAGUAUCAGAAUCUUAUUUAACAUGCAACAUAUUCAAUAAUCUGUAACUAAGACUCAAUAAAGAAAUUCUG